CAAGUAUUAGAGGCAAUGCCUGC
rnacentral:piRNA from 1 species